rnacentral:rRNA from 1 species
CAGUCGAACGGAGAUAUUCGCUGAUGAAGUACUUCGGUAAUGAAUCUUGGAUAUCUUAGUGGCGGACGGGUGAGUAACGCGUGAGCAACCUGCCUUUCAGAGGGGGAUAACGUUUGGAAACGAACGCUAAUACCGCAUGACAUUAUCUUAUCGCAUGGUAGGAUAAUCAAAGGAGCAAUCCGCUGAAAGAUGGGCUCGCGUCCGAUUAGGUAGUUGGUGGGGUAACGGCCCACCAAGCCGACGAUCGGUAGCCGGACUGAGAGGUUGGACGGCCACAUUGGGACUGAGACACGGCCCAGACUCCUACGGGAGGCAGCAGUAAGGGAUAUUGGUCAAUGGGGGAAACCCUGAACCAGCAACGCCGCGUGAGGGAAGACGGUUUUCGGAUUGUAAACCUCUGUCCUCUGUGAAGAUGAUGACGGUAGCAGAGGAGGAAGCUCCGGCUAACUACGUGCCAGCAGCCGCGGUAAUACGUAGGGAGCGAGCGUUGUCCGGAUUUACUGGGUGUAAAGGGUGCGUAGGCGGCUUGGCAAGUCAGUAGUGAAAUCCAUGGGCUUAACCCAUGAACUGCUAUUGAAACUGUCGAGCUUGAGUGAAGUAGAGGUAGGCGGAAUUCCCGGUGUAGCGGUGAAAUGCGUAGAGAUCGGGGGGAACACCAGUGGCGAAGGCGGCCUACUGGGCUUUAACUGACGCUGAGGCACGAAAGCGUGGGUAGCAAACAGGAUUAGAUACCCUGGUAGUCCACGCUGUAAACGAUGAUUACUAGGUGUGGGUGGACUGACCCCAUCCGUGCCGGAGUUAACACAAUAAGUAAUC